AUGGUCAACCCCGUGUUCUUUGACAUCACCGUGGAUGGUGAGCCCCUGGGCCGCAUCUCCUUCGAGCUGUUUGCAGACAAGGUUCCAAAGACAACAGAAAACUUUCGUGCUCUGAGCACUGGACAAAAAGGAUUUGGUUGUAAGAGUUCCUGCUUUCACAGAAUUAUUCCAGGGUUUAUGUAUCAGGUGGUGACUUCACACGCCAUAAUGGCACUGGUGGCAAGUCCAUCUAUGGGGAGAAAUUUGAUGAUGAGAACUUCAUCCUAAAGCAUACAGGUCCUGGCACCUUGUCCAUGGCAAUUGCUGGACCCAACACAAAAGGUUCCCAGCUUUUCAUCUACACUGCCAAGAGUGAGUGGUUGGAUGGCAAGCAUGUGGUCUUUGGCAAGGUGAAAGAAGGCAUGAAUAUUGCAGAGGCCAUGGAGCGCUUUGGGUCCAGGAAUGGCAAGACCAGCAAGAAGAUCACCAUUGCUGACUGUGGAUAAGU
rnacentral:lncRNA from 1 species